AUUGAACGCUGGCGGCAUGCCUUACACAUGCAAGUCGAACGGUAACAGGUCUUCGGAUGCUGACGAGUGGCGAACGGGUGAGUAAUACAUCGGAACGUGCCCGAUCGUGGGGGAUAACGGAGCGAAAGCUUUGCUCAUACCGCAUACGAACUACGGAUUAAAGCAGGGGACCGCAAGGCCUUGCGCGGACGGAGCGGCCGAUGGCAGAUUAGGUAGUUGGUGGGAUAAAAGCUUACCAAGCCGACGAUCUGUAGCUGGUCUGAGAGGACGACCAGCCACACUGGGACUGAGACACGGCCCAGACUCCUACGGGAGGCAGCAGUGGGGAAUUUUGGACAAUGGGCGAAAGCCUGAUCCAGCCAUGCCGCGUGCAGGAUGAAGGCCUUCGGGUUGUAAACUGCUUUUGUACGGAACGAAAAGCCUCUUUCUAAUAAAGAGAGGUCAUGACGGUACCGUAAGAAUAAGCACCGGCUAACUACGUGCCAGCCGCCGCGGUAAAAC
rnacentral:rRNA from 1 species